UUCGCCCUCAAGGCCAGGUCUCCAGGCUGCCUGGCCAUGUUCCAGAAACAUUUUCUCCUGAUGUUUCACCCACAUCUAUGUCAGGCAUCCUCAGAACUUCUGAGGUCUGUUGGAAGCUAGGAGUGACUUGAGAAACUGCAAGUCGCUUCUGGUGUGAGCGAAUUGGCCAUCUGCAAGGAUAUUGCCUGGAGAACACCCGGAUGUUUUGAUGUUUUACCAUCCUUGUGGGGGGCUUCUCUCAUGUCCCUGCAUGGGGAGUUGAAGCUGACAGAGGGAGCUCAUCCACACUCUCCCUGGAUUCAAACCGGCAACCUUCAGGUCAGCAACCCAACCUUUAGGUCAGCAAUUCUGCCGACACUAGGGUUUAACCCAUUGCACCACCGGGGGCUCCAACACCCAAUCAGUAUACUCUUAUUGAGGGAUUACAGUUCUUCGAGAUCCAAGACUACUAUAGAAUGUACAGUGCCCAAGAUUCCUUAAGUUAGACAGACUUCUCCCCCCUUGCAUCCAUAUUUCUUUGUGGGUAAUCCACUGGUGUGCAUGUUGGAGAUGAAAUGGAGCAGAAGGGAGAAGUGUUCAACAAUAACAUGUUUGAUGCUUUUAUGUUCAAACUGUUCCCACUUAGAUGCUUAUCACUUAUUGGCUAUACAUAGGGGAGAAGCAUCUUAGUGGGAACAGUUUGAAUGUAAAAGCAUUGAACAUCUCAAACAUGGAGAAAGUUGGGAAACAUGGCUUCGAGUGGAAAACAAAACAUCAGUAAAAGAAUUAAAACAUGCGUAAUCCUAUUGUUUACUUUCCAGCUUUGAGCAAAUGAGGAAAUCUUUAGCUUGGAUAUUGUUAGCAUCUGUGUCACAGAUGGUUGUUUGGAGACUGCCUAGACUCAAUAGCAGGAUGCUGAUUUUCAUUUGCUUAACCUCUAGGAAUUCCCCUUAUUGGUGAGUGUUCCUGAGAUAAUUCAAUGGCUGUUAUAGCUCUGCAUCAGAUUUUUUGUUUUUAAAACCCAAUACAAACCUAAAUAAAGCAGAAGUGAAAUGCAGAAACAA